CGGUGGGGCGUGGGGAGAAGAAGAAGAGAAGUUGAAGGAGAAGAGAAGAAAAGAAGAAGAAGAGGGAAAAGAAGAGAGGAGGAAGAGGGAGAAGAGAAGAAAAGAAGAAAGAAGAAGAAGAAGAGAGGGAAGAUGGAAAGGAGAGAGAGAGGCAGCUGUAGCAACUAGGGCUGCAGCACCUCUGUUUCCCACAGGUGGAAACAUAGGAGAGGAUGUGUGGGGCGUUGGGGAGGAGAAGGGAAGAAGAAGAAGAAGAAGAAGAAGAAGAAGAAGAAGAAGAAGAAGAAGAAGAAGAAGAGAGGAGGAUAGCUGUGACAAGGUUGCAGCGAGGAGGUGUGUGGUGUUGGGGAGGAAAAGGGAAGAGGAGAAGAAGGGGGAAAAGAGAGGGAAGAGGGAGAGGAGCGAGAGGUGGCAGCAACUAGGGCUGCAGCACCUUUGUUUCCUACAGGUGGAAACAGAGGAGAGGUGUGGGGCGUUCGAAGAGGAGAAGAAGAAGAAGAGGAAGAGAAGAGGAAGAGGAAGUAGGAGAAGAGGUUGUGAUACCUCUGUUUCCUGCAGAGGAAACAGAGGAGAGGGUGUGUGUGAUGCCGGGGAGGAGGAGGGAAGAAGAAGAGGAGAAGAAGAAGAGAAGGGAAAGGAGGAGCUGCGGCUGCGGCAGUGGAAGCUGCAGCUAGAAGAGAAGGAGAGGAAGAGAUGGUGAGGAAGAAGAGAAGAAGUAGAAGUGGGUGAAGAGGCGGAACCUCUGUUUCCUGCAGGAGGAAACAGAGGAAAGGAGGUGCUGUUCUUCGGGGAGAAGAAGGGGAGGAAGGAGAAGAAGAGAAGAAGAAGAAAGGAAGGAGAAGGAAGAGGAGAAGGGAAAGAACUAGCUACGGCUGCGGCUGUGGUAGUUGCAGCUGUGGCAGGGAAAGAGGAAGAGGAAGGAAGAAGGGAAGGAGAGGAAGAAGAGAAGGGGAAAAAGGGGCUGCGGCUGCUGCGAUGGCAGCUGCAGUUGGAAGAGAAGAAGGAGAGGAAGAUGAGCAGGGGAGGAAGAAGAGGCUGUGGCCGUGGCUGAGGCUGCGACUGUAGCAGUGCAGCUGGGAAAGAAGAGAAGGAAAGGAAGAAGAAGAGCAAGGAAAAGGGAAGACGAGAGGAAGAGGAGAAGGGGAGGCAGCUGUGGCAGUGGCAGCUGCAGCUGGAAGAGAAGGAGAGGAAAUAGAGUAGGGAAGGAAGAAGAGGCUGCGAGUGUGGUGGCUGCGGCCGUGGCUGUGACUCCGGCUGCGACUGCGACGUUGGCUGCGGUAGCUGCGACAGCAGUGGUGGCUGCAGUAGCUGCUUUUGGGAAAGAGAAAGAAAGGAAAGGAAAAAAAAAAGGGGGCUGUGGCCGUGAUUGCGGUUGCGGUGGUGGCGGCUGCAUCUGUGGCAGCUGUGUUUGGGAAAGAAAGAGUAGGAAUGAGAGUAAGAGAGAGCAUGUGACUAUGCCUCUAUGUUCUGCAUGAGCUGCAGUUGUGGAGGAAAAAGAAAAGACAUGUAGAAAAUGAAAUAGGGAGAGGACACGGAGGAAAAGUAGAAGAAUUUGGGCUGACACCUUCUUUAGAUCUUCGGAUCAAAAUCUUUGAAAGAGCCGACCUAGCACUUGGGCAGGGUGAGAGGGCUCGAGUAGGAAAGGGCUACCCAUGGAUGAAGUCGAGAACUCAUCACGGCGUGGAGCUACCACUGAGUUAAUCCUCACAUGCACUAUGCUAGGGUCAGCUUGUCACUCUUUGAGAUGUUUGAAUUGGGCUGAGGUAGUGGAGAGCUAUUCUGAAUUAUGGGCAAGUCUUGUUGGUUAUUAUGUUAUUGUUGUAUAAGCAUAUUUUGUAUGAAAUGAAAUGUUGUCGAUGAAUCGAAAUGGAUAUACUAUGUAAAAGUGUUAGAAGAUCUCUUUUAUUUGGAAUUUCGGAAUGUUAAGUCUAGUUUACGAUGA